AUUGAACGCUGGCGGCAGGCCUAACACAUGCAAGUCGAGCGAGUGGCGGACGGGUGAGUAAUGUCUGGGAAACUGCCCGAUGGAGGGGGAUAACUACUGGAAACGGUAGCUAAUACCGCAUACCAUCGGAUGUGCCCAGAUUGGAUUAGCUGGUAGGUGAGGUAACGCCUCACCUAGGCGACGAUCCCUCGCUGGUCUGAGAGGCUGACCAGCCACACGGGAACUGAGAACCGGUCAAGACUCCUACGGGGGGCAGCGGUGGGGAAUAUUGGACAAUGGGCGCAAGCCUGCUGCAGCCAUGCCGCGUGUAGGAAGAAGGCCUUCGGGUUGUAAAGUACUUUCAGCGGGGAGGCGUUACCCGCAGAAGAAGCACCGGCUAACUUCGUGCCAGCAGCCGCGGUAAUAC
rnacentral:rRNA from 1 species